GCAGUCGUGGCCGAGUGGUUAAGGCGAUGAACAAGAAAUCCAUUGGGGUCUCCCCGCACAGGUUCGAAUCCUGUCGACUGCG
rnacentral:tRNA from 1 species